rnacentral:rRNA from 1 species
GAUGAACGCUGGCGGUGUGCUUAACACAUGCAAGUCGAACGGUGAACACGGAGCUUGCUCUGUGGGAUCAGUGGCGAACGGGUGAGUAACACGUGAGCAACCUGCCCCUGACUCUGGGAUAAGCGCUGGAAACGGCGUCUAAUACUGGAUAUGUGACGUGACCGCAUGGUCUGCGUUUGGAAAGAUUUUUCGGUUGGGGAUGGGCUCGCGGCCUAUCAGCUUGUUGGUGAGGUAAUGGCUCACCAAGGCGUCGACGGGUAGCCGGCCUGAGAGGGUGACCGGCCACACUGGGACUGAGACACGGCCCAGACUCCUACGGGAGGCAGCAGUGGGGAAUAUUGCACAAUGGGCGCAAGCCUGAUGCAGCAACGCCGCGUGAGGGAUGACGGCCUUCGGGUUGUAAACCUCUUUUAGCAGGGAAGAAGCGAAAGUGACGGUACCUGCAGAAAAAGCGCCGGCUAACUACGUG